rnacentral:rRNA from 1 species
GACGAACGCUGGCGGCGUGCUUAACACAUGCAAGUCGAACGGUGACGAGGAGCUUGCUCCUCUGAUCAGUGGCGAACGGGUGAGUAACACGUGAGCAACCUACCCUUGACUCUGGGAUAACAGUUGGAAACAGCUGCUAAUACCGGAUACGACCCUGGCCGACAUCUGCCGGGGUGGAAAGCUCCGACGGUCAAGGAUGGGCUCGCGGCCUAUCAGCUAGUUGGUGAGGUAACGGCUCACCAAGGCGACGACGGGUAGCCGGCCUGAGAGGGCGACCGGCCACACUGGGACUGAGAUACGGCCCAGACUCCUACGGGUGGCAG